UUUUUUUCUUCCGUUGCAAUGUACAGGCCAUUUUGCUAGUACAAACCCAACGAGCCUAAGAACACCAAAUCAGAGUUUGUAUGAGAAAAUGAUGGCCAAAACACGAAGCACAUGGACCUAAGCAGAAUAAAAGACGGGCAAUGGUGGUCGUACCAGCUGUUCCGACGACCCAAAUCACUGGUACUUCCACGGUUCAACUCAUUUCCUUGGAUGAUAAGAAUGUAUCUGGGGAGGUUUGGAUCGAAUGAGAUGAAGCGGAACAACAGAGAAGAAACUGCAAAUCCGCAAGCUGAUCCUAAGUAAUCGUUGUUCUUCAUUGGAUUCCGGAGACAUGUCUAUCACGCAACUCCGCCCACAGCCCUCAUCAAUGGUAAUUCUUCUUCAGUAGCUAGUGCCAUCAGCUAGAUUUUAGUCAUGUUAUGUAUGAUCAUUGUAAUAAAGUAAUCAGGUAGCUAGCUCAUGAAACUGGCCAAGAGAGCUAGAUUUUCUCCCCCUCCUGGUAUCGGGGUGGAUAUCCUCCACCCCUGACGUGGGUAUACCUUACAUUGUAAAGGAUACUAACAUCAUUAUGAAUGAAUAAAGGAGAUGAUUGA
rnacentral:lncRNA from 1 species